rnacentral:rRNA from 1 species
CAGCAGCCGCGGGAAUACAGAGGGUGCGAGCGUUAAUCGGAUUUACUGGGCGUAAAGCGUGCGUAGGCGGCUAAUUGAGUCGGAUGUGAAAUCCCCGAGCUUAACUUGGGAAUUGCAUUCGAUACUGGUUAGCUAGAGUGUGGGAGAGGAUGGUAGAAUUCCAGGUGUAGCGGUGAAAUGCGUAGAGAUCUGGAGGAAUACCGAUGGCGAAGGCAGCCAUCUGGCCUAACACUGACGCUGAGGUACGAAAGCAUGGGGAGCAAACAGGAUUAGAGACCCCAGUAGUCCCUGUCUCUUAUAC